rnacentral:rRNA from 1 species
CACGUAGGGCGCAAGCGUUGUCCGGAAUUAUUGGGCGUAAAGAGCGUGUAGGCGGCCAGAUAGGUCCGUUGUGAAAACUGGAGGCUUAACCUCCAGCGGUCGAUGGAAACCAUUUGGCUAGAGUCCGGAAGAGGAGAGUGGAAUUCCUGGUGUAGCGGUGAAAUGCGCAGAUAUCAGGAAGAACACCCGUGGCGAAGGCGGCUCUCUGGGACGGUACUGACGCUGAGACGCGAAAGCGUGGGGAGCGAACAGG